rnacentral:misc_RNA from 1 species
AACUUUUGGCAACGGAUCUCUCGUGACGCUAAAACUUUCAACAAUGGAUCACUUGGUUCUGGCAUCGAUGAAGAACGCAGCGAAAUGCGAUAAGUAAUGUGAAUUGCAGAAUUCAGUGAAUCAUCGAAUCUUUGAACGCACAUUGCGCCCUCUGGUAUUCCGGAGGGCAUGCCUGUUCGAGCGUCAUCACAACCCUCAAGCCUGGCUUGGUGUUGGGCCUCCGUACACUGGACGGGCCUGAAAAUCAGUGGCAAUGCCCUUCCAACUUCAAGCGUAGUAGAUCUAUCUUCGUCUUGGGUGGUUGGAUGGUGUGGUUCGCCAAAAACCAAACCUCUGGUUUUAUCUUCUGGUUGACCUCGGAUCAGGUAGGAAUACCCGCUGAACUUAAGCAUAUCAAUAAGCGGAGGCU